GAUGAACGCUGGCGGCGUGCCUAAUACAUGCAAGUCGAGCGAACGGACGAGAAGCUUGCUUCUCUGAUGUUAGCGGCGGACGGGUGAGUAACACGUGGAUAACCUACCUAUAAGACUGGGAUAACUUCGGGAAACCGGAGCUAAUACCGGAUGAUAUUUUGAACCGCAUGGUUCAAAAGUGAAAGACGGUCUUGCUGUCACUUAUAUAUGGAUCCGCGCUGCAUUAGCUAGUUGGUAAGGUAACGGCUUACCAAGGCAACGAUGCAUAGCCGACCUGAGAUGGUGAUCGGCCACACUGGAACUGAGACACGGUCCAGACUCCUACGGGAGGCAGCAGUAGGGAAUCUUCCGCAAUGGGCGAAAGCCUGACGGAGCAACGCCGCGUGAGUGAUGAAGGUCUUCGGAUCGUAAAACUCUGUUAUUAGGGAAGAACAUAUGUGUAAGUAACUGUGCACAUCUUGACGGUACCUAAUCAGAAAGCCACGGCUAACUACGUG
rnacentral:rRNA from 1 species